UAAAUAUUUUGCCGUGCUAGAAAACGCUUGUGCUGUACUCUCGCAUAGCAUCAGCGUUUUUCAGCCAGUCAGGUUAUUAGGACAGCCGUUUAGCAUGCGGCAGCCCUGAUCACCUCACUUUAAAAUGGCAACGUUGAUGGAGGACUCUACAUCUAUGUCUGCCACAUAUAUGGUGGAUGUCUCUGCAAGAGACAGCCCCAUCAACAUUAGAAAGCUUCAUAAGAGAGCUUUCCUUGGGAGGGACCUAUCUUUUUACUUCUGAGGAGGAUAUGGUCCCAG